rnacentral:rRNA from 1 species
UACGUAGGGUGCGAGCGUUGUCCGGAAUUAUUGGGCGUAAAGGGCUCGUAGGCGGUUUGUCGCGUCGGGAGUGAAAUCAUCUGGCUUAACUGGGUGCUUGCUUUCGAUACGGGCAGACUAGAGGUAUGCAGGGGAGAACGGAGUUCCUGGUGUAGCGGUGAAAUGCGCAGAUAUCAGGAGGAACACCGGUGGCGAAGGCGGUUCUCUGGGCAUGACCUGACGCUGAGGAGCGAAAGUGUGGGGAGCGAACAGG